rnacentral:rRNA from 1 species
GACGAACGCUGGCGGCGUGCUUAACACAUGCAAGUCGAACGGUGAAGCGCCUUCCUUUUUGGUGGGUGUGGAUGAGUGGCGAACGGGUGAGUAACACGUGAGUAACCUGCCCCCUUCUUCUGGAUAACCGCAUGAAAGUGUGGCUAAUACGGGAUAUUCUGGGUCUGUCGCAUGAUGGGUCUGGGAAAGAUAUUGUUUCGGUGGGGGAUGGGCUCGCGGCCUAUCAGCUUGUUGGUGGGGUGAUGGCCUAGCAAGGCGGUGACGGGUAGCCGGCCUGAGAGGGUGGACGGCCACACUGGGAGUGAGACACGGCCGGGACUGCGACGGGGGGCAGCAGUGGAGGAGAUUGCACAAUGGGCGCAAGCCUGAUGCAGCGACGCCGCGUGAGGGAUGGAGGCCUUCGGGUUGUGAACCUCUUUCGCCAGUGAAGCAGGCCUGCCUCGUUUGUGGGUGGGUUGACGGUAGCUGGAAAAGAAGCGCCGGCUAACUACGUG